GGAUAAGAUUCCUGUGUAUCUUAUGGAGCGCUUUGAUCAUAAUUUGACCAAUGUAUACAACUUCAGAGUGAAAGCAUGGUCAUCCAUUCAGUACUACAAGGAUGUUGUACUUCCAAGGCUAUUGGAGGAAAAGGUUAUAAGGAUUUCUCCUUUUGCAAAUCGAUUAUCAUUUGAUGCUCCUCCAGCUGUUCAGCGGCUUAGAUGCUUGGCAAAUUAUGAAGCAUUGAGAUUUUCAAAUCCCAUAUUAACUCUGGGG
rnacentral:misc_RNA from 1 species